GACGAACGCUGGCGGCGUGCCCAAUACAUGCAAGUUGAGCGAUGAAGAUUGGUGCUUGCACCAAUUUGAAGAGCAGCGAACGGGUGGGUAACGCGUGGGGAAUCUGCCUUUGAGCGGGGGACAACAUUUGGAAACGAAUGCUAAUACCGCAUAAUAACUUUAAACAUAAGUUUUAAGUUUGAAAGAUGCAAUUGCAUCACUCAAAGAUGAUCCCGCGUUGUAUUAGCUAGUUGGUGAGGUAAAGGCUCACCAAGGCGAUGAUACAUAGCCGACCUGAGAGGGUGAUCGGCCACAUUGGGACUGAGACACGGCCCAAACUCCUACGGGAGGCAGCAGUAGGGAAUCUUCGGCAAUGGACGAAAGUCUGACCGAGCAACGCCGCGUGAGUGAAGAAGGUUUUCGGAUCGUAAAACUCUGUUGGUAGAGAAGAACGUUGGUGGGAGUGGAAAGCUCAUCAAGUGACGGUAACUACCCAGAAAGGGACGGCUAACUACGUG
rnacentral:rRNA from 1 species